CAGCAGCCGCGGGAAUACGGAGGGGGCUAGCGUUGCUCGGAAUUACUGGGCGUAAAGGGAGCGUAGGCGGAUCGUUAAGUUGGGGUGAAAGCCCGGGGCUCAACCUCGGAAUUGCCUUCAAUACUGGCGAUCUUGAGUAUGGAAGAGGUAUGUGGAACUCCGAGUGUAGAGGUGAAAUUCGUAGAUAUUCGGAAGAACACCAGUGGCGAAGGCGACAUACUGGUCCAUUACUGACGCUAAGGCUCGAAAGCGUGGGGAGCAAACAGGAUUAGAUACCCGCGUAGUCCCUGUAUCUUAUACA
rnacentral:rRNA from 1 species